UCUCCAUCAGAAAGAGCUGCUUUAAUCAAUGUCAAAUUUUGGUCAAAUGACUUCUGACUCCAUCGGUUCACAAUUUUAAUAUGAAGUAAUUUUAUCAAAAACUCUAACUCGAAGAACUUUACACAAUUUAGAUAGAGUGGCUCUCGUGCAUCCGUUACAAGCUUUGCAAACUGUUCAGAAAUCUCUUCUACCUCAAGCC
rnacentral:lncRNA from 1 species